rnacentral:rRNA from 2 species
AAAUUGAAGAGUUUGAUCAUGGCUCAGAUUGAACGCUGGCGGCAGGCCUAACACAUGCAAGUCGAACGGUAACGGGAAGCAGCUUGCUGCUUCGCUGACGAGUGGCGGACGGGUGAGUAAUGUCUGGGAAACUGCCUGAUGGAGGGGGAUAACUACUGGAAACGGUGGCUAAUACCGCAUAACGUCGCAAGACCAAAGAGGGGGACCUUCGGGCCUCUUGCCAUCAGAUGUGCCCAGAUGGGAUUAGCU